rnacentral:rRNA from 1 species
CCUACGGGAGGCAGCAGUAGGGAAUCUUCCGCAAUGGACGAAAGUCUGACGGAGCAACGCCGCGUGAGUGAUGAAGGUUUUCGGAUCGUAAAGCUCUGUUGUUAGGGAAGAACAAGUGCGAGAGUAACUGCUCGCACCUUGACGGUACCUAACCAGAAGGCCACGGCUAACUACGUGCCAGCAGCCGCGGUAAUACGUAGGUGGCAAGCGUUGUCCGGAAUUAUUGGGCGUAAAGGGCUCGCAGGCGGUUUCUUAAGUCUGAUGUGAAAGCCCCCGGCUCAACCGGGGAGGGUCAUUGGAAACUGGGAAACUUGAGUGCAGAAGAGGAGAGUGGAAUUCCACGUGUAGCGGUGAAAUGCGUAGAGAUGUGGAGGAACACCAGUGGCGAAGGCGACUCUCUGGUCUGUAACUGACGCUGAGGAGCGAAAGCGUGGGGAGCGAACAGGAUUAGAUACCCUGGUAGUCCACGCCGUAAACGAUGAGUGCUAAGUGUUAGGGGGUUUCCGCCCCUUAGUGCUGCAGCUAACGCAUUAAGCACUCCGCCUGGGGAGUACGGUCGCAAGACUGAAACUCAAAUGAAUUGACGG